UCCCUUGUAGCUCAGUCGGUAAAGAAUCUGCCUGCAAUGCAGGAGACCCGGGUUCGAUCCCUGGGUUGGGAA
rnacentral:tRNA from 1 species